UACGUAGGGACCGAGCGUUGUCCGGAAUCAUUGGGCGUAAAGAGCGUGUAGGCGGCCACUUAAGUCCUGCGUGAAAUCCUGCGGCUCAACCGCAGGCGGUCGUGGGAAACUGGGUGGCUAGAGUGCGGGAGAGGAGAGUGGAAUUCCUGGUGUAGCGGUGGAAUGCGCAGAUAUUCGCAAGAACACCAGUGGCGAAGGCGGCUCACUGGCCCGGUACUGACGCUGAGGUGCGAAAGCGUGGGGAGCAAACAGG
rnacentral:rRNA from 1 species